AAAAAAACAAGAGCCGUAGGGGAGGCACGGAGAGACGGCAUCUUCAGCUCCAUCACGGCACAAAAGAAUUGAAACUGAAAGUUCACGUAUUGAUGCUGAACUUUGAAAAACAUGGGCAUGUAUUAUUCUUAUUAAAUUCAAACCUCUCACGUGGGUGGGUUUUCACUGCUGUGUUCCUAUUGGACAAUCAGUUUUUGAGUGACAGCUAAGUCCCUCGGGCGGUGAGUAGUAUAGUUUCGGCGGACAUCUUAAACCAGGGGACACCAACCUUUUUGAAACUGAGAGCUACUUCACGGUUACUGAGCCAUACGAAGGGCUACCAUAACAUACUUUACCUAAACUUAUCUAAACUUCAUGUAUAAUAGAAAUGUUUUAAAUGUUUUUUUUAUUAUUAUUUAUUGUCAUUUUCAAAUCCAUAUAAAUGCACAUGUGAUUAAAGAAGAAUAGCAACAGGAUAAAAAUAAAAUUUAGACCCUGCUUACUGGUGAGUUGUACUAUUCUUAGAACAGGUCCGUGGGCGACUCAUGUGGUCCUUGGGGGCAUCCUGGUACCAGUGGGCACCAUGCUGGUGACCCUUGUCCUAAACAGUGGGACUGGCCAUUUACUCGAUUCUUGCAAUAUUAAUGAAGUGUAAGUAUUGAUCAUAAAUGUUUUGUUUUGUUGAGGUAGGAGCGAUGCAGUUCAGGUCAUGCUGUACAGCCUACAGGAAGCAAAGACCUUCACCCGCCGUGUUGGUUGCAUUUCUCAUGUGGUCCAGCAAACCAGCCGCUAUGUAUGACAGAGGCAACAUUGACUGGCACCAACAGUUAACAUGGGACACAGCAGCGUGAAGAUUCUGCCAACAUCACAGGUGUCCAGAGAGGAACACAAAAAGAAACGGACACUCAAGACGAUGCCUUCAGCCAAAUGAAAGCCACCCAACUGCAGAUGCUUGUACUGAUAUCAUGGAGAUCUCACUGACAAAUGAAUUAGAUGUUCCUCCCCAUCCAACGUUUUCCCCAAGCGUCAAAUGCAGGACAAGUGUAGCUGAGGGGAAUCAUGAUCCUCAGAAUGGUACUGUACUGGAUCACAGUAUGAUGCUCUUCUUGUGUCAAAAUAUCAGUCACCUGGUGGACUCCCUGACUUACAAAUAAUCGUUUAAAUGUCUUUGCUGUUUCAAGGUCGUAGGAUGUAAUCUCCACUCCAGAUAAUCCUGAAACAAGGGUUGGAGGCCAAUAUGACUCUGUGUGAUUUGUUAGUCAAGGAAUCAUGCAUCAGGUUGAUGAUGUGUGAGCUAGGUAGUUUCGUUGAAACAAUAAACAGUUACAGAGGAGGGGACAAUGGGACAGUGCAAGACGAAGAAUGUGCAAUAUGGGGAGUGUAACAGUAAAUAUAUUCAGCAUGCAUAAGUUUGCGAAGGUCAAGCAAAGUGCAAAGACAACUGAUAAUACUGCGAACAAAUAUGUAAAUAGUACACACAAGUGUUUGAACUUCUCCAUCUUUCUUGGCAAGAAACCAGGUUCUUGUGGGAGUAAUGGAGGCUCUCUGAGAGAGCUUGAGCUAGUGAGUAAUCAUAACACAACAGCAAAUAAAUCCGCCUGCACUUUACCUAUAAAACACUGACUUAAGUGCAAUCAAACUUGAUUUCUUGUAAUAAGAACGAAAACUUCAUCAGCAUUGUAACAUUAAUAUUACAGCAACCAUACCAUUUUAUGACGAAAUUAAGAUAGCAAUAACAUGCAAUAAAAAAUUAUAAAUAAUAAGUCAGAUGUUUAUAUUUGUACUUACUCGUGAAUAUAUCAAAAUAUUUCGUCCACUAUUUUUCCUUUUCAGUUCUUGUAUCCAGCCAGAAACAAAGAAAUUAUGGGCCUUCAGGUUUUUUGGUCACUUAGUCGUUUGCUUAAGUCACCCAUGAUGAAUCAGGAUAUCCUCAUGACUUUAGUCUUUCACUUUCAAUGUGUAUGAGUCACAUCCAAUAAUUUCAGUUUUCUCUUUAUGUGUAUUGCUUGCAUCUAGCGGUAGCUGAUUCACAUACAGUACGCAGUAUUCAGCACCACUACGACUAAUAAAUGCACCAGGAUGGUGACUAGAGGCAGAGCAAGGUGAUGUUUCUCAAGCAAGAAAUCUUAGUAUUGAAAUUUGAAAUCCUUCCUUUUGUCACUUUCUGUAUGCUGUACCACGGUCCUGGAAGAAUGUUGUCUGGUGUUACCUUAGGCCUACUUGUAUAUAGCUGGAUUGGCAAUGGAAGUGAAACUUCAAUUCAAAAAUACAAAAUACACUUUCUUUAAAUGAAACAAGUAUGCAAUCAUAUAUAUAGUCAUUUUGUUUCUUAUGCAUUUUUUUGUCUUUAAAACACACUCGGGUCCUGGAAAUAGGAUGGAGACUUGGAAUCAUUCAGUGGUCCCAGUAUGGGCAGAAGCCCCUGAACAUGCCAGCUAAAAUUAUAUUACUACAUGUGGGGGUCCAGGGUGACAAGGGGGACAAAUGUAAGACAAUAUCAACAGGCAGUUGUGUGCAAUUUGUCUGAAAUCUAAAAAAAAAAAAAAACAAUUGAAAUGUAUUUAAGAGGAAGGAUGGUGCACAGUAAAUGUAUAUAAUUUAACAAUGGAUGCCAAUGAAUAUAGGAAGGACUUACUACUGUUUUGUUUUGUUUUUUGUUUUUUUUGCCAGUUACUGUUCCGGAUUGUUGUAUAUGCUGUGUAUGUAGGCAUAUUUACCAGCUUGCUUAACCUCACUUUAAAAUGAGCUGCAUUUUCCUUCCAACAUUUUCCUCUUGGUGGUGGUAAAGUACAGAUAGACAGAGAACCUGUGAAAGGUUUCUCAAAUAGAAAAUGUGCAGCAGAGGGAUGAAAUCCUCCCAAAGACUUUUUUUUUCAUAGUAAUCCUUAAUAAAUGUGAUUCAGAAAGUACAGUAUAGCCCACACAAGAUGAUCUGACAUUAAGAUAGUGUUUUACUUGUAAUUAUAUGUGCUUUGCAGGGCCUCAAUUAGCCUCGGUUUCAAUGGUAACAUCAGGCUGUGUGUAGACUGUCCAAACAUUCCCUGCUCAUUACCCUGCAUUGUACAGAGGCAAACCCUAACCCUCUCCCUUACAGCACCGACACAGGGCUUGUUCCUUCCAGACAGAGUGAAUGUUUUUUAAAAAGAAAAAUCUGAUGGCUUAUUUUGAUUAUCAAAACACUGCCCACUCGUCAAGCUAUAAGAAGCUUUUUUUUUUUAUUUAAAAUGUCACUUUCUGAUUAAGUUUCAUCACAACAGUGUAUGGGCUUAGAACAACUGGGCUCUUCUGUGUUUACUGUGAUAAUUACUGAUCUUGUCAAGAGGAGUGUCUAUCUUUUGAAGAAUGAGUACUGAGGUAACAAUGCGAAAGCUCUCCUUUGUGAGGGAUCUUUAAAACUUUCAUCAAAUAAAUAAAUAAAUCACUGUUUAUCACUUAAA